GAUGAACGCUAGCGGCAGGCCUAAUACAUGCAAGUCGAAGGAGAUUGAGGAGCUUGCUCCUCAUGAAAGUGGCGCACGGGUGCGUAACGCGUAUGCAAUCUACCUUAAUCAGGGGGAUAGCCCGGAGAAAUCCGGAUUAAUACCGCAUAACGUUAUUUUAUGGCAUCAUAGAAUAACCAAAUAUUUAUGGGAUUAAGAUGAGCAUGCGUGACAUUAGUUAGUUGGUGAGGUAACGGCUCACCAAGACUACGAUGUCUAGGGGAUCUGAGAGGAUGACCCCCCACACUGGUACUGAGACACGGACCAGACUCCUACGGGAGGCAGCAGUAAGGAAUAUUGGUCAAUGGGCGCAAGCCUGAACCAGCCAUGCCGCGUGCAGGAAGACGGCCCCUAUGGGUUGUAAACUGCUUUUAUUCGGGAUAAACCUCUUUACGUGUAAGGAGCUGAAUGUACCGAGGAAUAAGGAUCGGCUAACUCCGUGCCAGC
rnacentral:rRNA from 1 species